UACGUAGGUGGCAAGCGUUGUCCGGAAUUAUUGGGCGUAAAGAGCUCGUAGGCGGUUUGUCGCGUCUGCUGUGAAAACUCGAGGCUCAACCUCGGGCUUGCAGUGGGUACGGGCAGACUAGAGUGCGGUAGGGGAGACUGGAAUUCCUGGUGUAGCGGUGAAAUGCGCAGAUAUCAGGAGGAACACCGGUGGCGAAGGCGGGUCUCUGGGCCGAUACUGACGCUGAGGAGCGAAAGCGUGGGGAGCGAACAGG
rnacentral:rRNA from 1 species